GACGAACCGUGCGAACGUUGUUCGGAAUCACUGGGCUUAAAGGGCGCGUAGGCGGGCCCGCAAGUCAGGGGUGAAAUCCCACGGCUCAACCGUGGAAGUGCCUUUGAUACUGCGGGUCUGGAGGGAGGUAGGGGCGUGCGGAACUUCCGGUGGAGCGGUGAAAUGCGUAGAUAUCGGGAGGAACACCAGUGGCGAAGGCGGCUCACUGGACCGGUACUGACGCUGAUGCGCGAAAGCGUGGGGAGCAAACAGG
rnacentral:rRNA from 1 species